ensembl:lncRNA
CCAACCAUAGAGAUCAGGGCGAAAGAAAAACAUAUCACCAAGAUGGAUACAUCACAGAAAGUCUCGACUUAGACAAAUGGACUCUAUGUAAAUCUUUGAAUUGGAUGAGCGCAAGAUGAGCACGAGAAGUGGUAGACUGUAUCCUCCCUAUAGCACGUUCCCAACUCUCUUCACCUGUGUGUUCUCCUAACUCCAUUUCCCACGCACUGUAUCAUCUUAUUCAUUUUCUCAUUCUUUUUUCCGUCGGCCUCUAUUUCUUUCUUGUCUUCCUUUCCUGCUUUCCUCAUUUGUUAUUUAUCCUUCCUUUCUUUUAGCUAGCAGGCUACAUUACUGAUGAGAUUUCAUAUUCCACAUUUUCUUUAUCAUGAACCUUUAUUUGUGAGGAAAAAAUCAGAUUAUUCAGCAUUUCCAGUAAAAGCAGCACUUCAGCGUCCCGCCUGAUGAAACACACAGUGGAAGUUUACACAGAGCUCCUCGUCCCCAGAACUCCUCCAUGCUCCAGAAAACCCAGAGAACAAGAACAGCUAUACAGGUUGACUGCUUUAUCUGUAAAGCUGCAUCAUGAAUCCUGAGAAGCAUCAGCACGUGUACAGCUUCCUGAACUGAUCAGUAGGUUAAUAAUCAUUGACAGCGUUCCCACCACCGCAUGCUGUAAAUACACCAUGAUUGUUCACCUUUGACCUUUUUCACUAAUAAGAAGUCAAAUUUGACAUCGCUAAGAAACAACACUAAGCAGAAUUUUUGUCCUGUAGUAAUUAGUGUUAAAGUUAAUUACACUCAACCUAAAAGAAAAAAUAAUUAGUCCGGUUUUUUAAAUGAAUAAUUAGAGUGUGUUAAGGAGGUGAGUGAUGAUUAAUCAUGUAAAUCUGGAUGGAUAUCGAGUGCUUAAACAGAUGAAAUGGUCCGGUUAAUUGUAUUAGUGAUAUAAACCGGGACAGGAUUAAACUUCCUUGUGAACUUUCUGUAACGGAGUGUGUAUUAACCUCACCUCGUUUCGCCCUCGACAGCAACGACAUCGUCGCUAACGUGAAGUGAUUUCUGCGCUCACGCUCCCUCACACCUGCUACGACUCGCUUAAACACCGCUGUGCUACUUCAACACAGGUGUGACCAGUCGCUUGUAGCAUGUUAACUAGCUGCUUUGCUAAAAUAUUGCUAAUUAUAAUCACACAUUUGCUAAAUGGACCCGUGUUCUGACUAGCUGUUGUUGUUGUUGUUUUUUCAACUAGCUAGCAUGGUCAUUUUUUAGUUAGCUAGUGUGAUCAGUAGCUGAUUU